GACGAACGCUGGCGGCGUGCUUAACACAUGCAAGUCGAACGGAAAGGCCCUGCUUUUGUGGGGGGCUCGAGUGGCGAACGGGUGAGUAACACGUGAGUAACCUGCCCUUGACUUUGGGAUAACUUCAGGAAACUGGGGCUAAUACCGGAUAGGAGCUCCUGCUGCAUGGUGGGGGUUGGAAAGUUUCGGCGGUUGGGGAUGGACUCGCGGCUUAUCAGCUUGUUGGUGGGGUAGUGGCUUACCAAGGCUUUGACGGGUAGCCGGCCUGAGAGGGUGACCGGCCACAUUGGGACUGAGACACGGCCCAGACUCCUACGGGAGGCAGCAGUGGGGAAUAUUGCACAAUGGGCGGAAGCCUGAUGCAGCAACGCCGCGUGCGGGAUGACGGCCUUCGGGUUGUAAACCGCUUUCGCCUGUGACGAAGCGUGAGUGACGGUAAUGGGUAAAGAAGCACCGGCUAAAUACGUG
rnacentral:rRNA from 1 species